rnacentral:rRNA from 1 species
CGAACGGGUGAGUAAUACAUCGGAACGUACCCAGUCGUGGGGGAUAACACAUCGAAAGAUGUGCUAAUACCGCAUACGACCUGAGGGUGAAAGGGGGGGAUCGCAAGACCUCUCGCGAUUGGAGCGGCCGAUGUCGGAUUAGCUAGUUGGUGAGGUAAAGGCUCACCAAGGCGACGAUCCGUAGCUGGUCUGAGAGGAUGAUCAGCCACACUGGGACUGAGACACGGCCCAGACUCCUACGGGAGGCAGCAGUGGGGAAUUUUGGACAAUGGGGGCAACCCUGAUCCAGCCAUUCCGCGUGAGUGAAGAAGGCCUUCGGGUUGUAAAGCUCUUUCGGCAGGAACGAAACGGUGAGGGCCAAUACCCCUUAUCAAUGACGGUACCUGAAGAAGAAGCACCGGCUAACUACGUGCCAGCAGCCGCGGUAAUACGUAGGGUGCGAGCGUUAAUCGGAAUUACUGGGCGUAAAGCGUGCGCAGGCGGUUGUGUAAGACAGGUGUGAAAUCCCCGGGCUUAACCUGGGAACUGCGCUUGUGACUGCACGACUCGAGUGUGGCAGAGGGGGGCGGAAUUCCACGUGUAGCAGUGAAAUGCGUAGAGAUGUGGAGGAACACCGAUGGCGAAGGCAGCCCCCUGGGUUAACACUGACGCUCAUGCACGAAAGCGUGGGUAGCAAACAGGAUUAGAUACCCUGGUAGUCCACGCCCUAAACGAUGCCAACUAGGUGUUGGGGAAGGAGACUUCCUUAGUACCGUAGCUAACGCGUGAAGUUGGCCGCCUGGGGAGUACGGUCGCAAGAUUAAAACCCAAAGGAAUUGACGGGGACCCGCACAAGCGGUGGAUGACGUGGAUUAAUUCGAUGCAACGCGAAAAACCUUACCUACCCUUGACAUGUCCAGAACCCUGCAGAGAUGCGGGGGUGCCCGAAAGGGAAUUGGAACACAGGUGCUGCAUGGCUGUCGUCAGCUCGUGUCGUGAGAUGUUGGGUUAAGUCCCGCAACGAGCGCAACCCUUAUCAUUAGUUGCUACGCAAGGGCACUCUAAUGAGACUGCCGGUGACAAACCGGAGGAAGGUGGGGAUGACGUCAAGUCCUCAUGGCCCUUAUGGGUAGGGCUUCACACGUCAUACAAUGGUCGGUACAGAGGGUUGCCAAGCCGCGAGGUGGAGCCAAUCCCAGAAAGCCGAUCGUAGUCCGGAUUGUUCUCUGCAACU